rnacentral:rRNA from 1 species
GACGAACGCUGGCGGCGCGCCUGAUACAUGCAAGUCGAGCGCAGGAAAUCGACGGAACCCUUCGGGGGGAAGUCGACGGAAUGAGCGGCGGACGGGUGAGUAACACGUAAAGAACCUGCCCUCAGGUCUGGGAUAACCACGAGAAAUCGGGCUAAUACCGGAUGGGUCAUCGGACCGCAUGGUCCGAGGAUGAAAGGCGCUUCGGCGUCGCCUGGGGAUGGCUUUGCGGUGCAUUAGCUAGUUGGUGGGGUAAUGGCCCACCAAGGCGACGAGGCAUAGCCGACCUGAGAGGGUGAUCGGCCACACUGGCACGGAGACACGGCCCAGACGCCUACGGGAGGCAGCAGUAGGGAAUCUUCCACAAUGGACGAAAGUCUGAUGGGGCAACGCCGCGUGAAGGAUGAAGGCCUUCGGGUCGUAAAGUUCUGUUGUAAGGGAAGAACAAGUGCCGCAGGCAAUGGCGGCACCUUGACGGUACCUUGCGAGAAAGCCACGGCUAACUACGUGCCAGCCGCCGCUGUAAAAC